rnacentral:rRNA from 1 species
UUGAACGCUGGCGGCCUGCUUUACCCCUGCCAGUCGCACGGCAGCGCGGGCUUCGGCCUGGCGGCGAGUGGCGAACGGGUGAGUAAUGCAUCGGAACGUGCCCAGUAGUGGGGGAUAGCCCGGCGAAAGCCGGAUUAAUACCGCAUACGACCUGAGGGUGAAAGCGGGGGACCGAAAGGCCUCGCGCUAUUGGAGCGGCCGAUGUCGGAUUAGCUAGUUGGUGGGGUAAAGGCUUACCAAGGCGACGAUCCGUAGCUGGUCUGAGAGGACGACCAGCCACACUGGGACUGAGACACGGCCCAGACUCCUACGGGAGGCAGCAGUGGGGAAUUUUGGACAAUGGGGGCAACCCUGAUCCAGCCAUGCCGCGUGCGGGAAGAAGGCCUUCGGGUUGUAAACCGCUUUUGUUCGGGAAGAAAUACUCUGGGCUAAUACCCCGGGGGGAUGACGGUACCGGAAGAAUAAGCACCGGCUAACUACGUG